rfam:Ailuropoda melanoleuca scaffold2498_20, whole genome shotgun sequence.
UCAAAGGCUCUUCUAAGAGCCACCCACUUUGUCUGUAAAGUUGCUG